rnacentral:lncRNA from 1 species
UUAAGAGAAGAAGAGUCUACUGAGCUGGCCCAGUCAAACUGAUGGCAAUGGUCACUCUUCUUAGCCCUGUGUGACCACAAGGACCGUUCACCAUAACGCUUUUGGAUAACUCUUUCACCAGCUUCAGCAGGUGAAGAGGGAAAUGAGGACAGAGAAUGCAUAUACAUAAGGCGUGGGAAGCCUUCAUCACACCCACGUGUCUUCUGAGCCUUCCCAGGUGAUCCAGCGGUUCCCUACAUUUGACCUCAGGAUCCUUUGCCCGUGUCCAUACACUUUGCCACACUGUGUUUCCUCUAUUGGCAUCGUUUUGCAUAUGAUAGAGCUUCUGAAAAGAAAAACAAGUUCAUAUCACUGUUGCAGCUUGAACAAAAGAAGCAUGUCUUACACACAGCAGAGUCAAACUCCCUGUUGUAUGUGGUCAAAAUGCACCCAUGGUACUCAGAGUUUGACAGUGUUUUACUCUAAGGGGUUCCACAAAUAAAGCCAAUUAGUAAUUAUACUUUAUGAAAAGCUCAAUAACUGAGGAAAUACUGCAAUUUGUUUCAAGUACAAAAAACGGGCAUUGUCUGUGGUAAGAGAUGAUGGACUUUUUUCUUUCUGUAAAAUUUUAUGAACUCCUUCUACUUGUAAAACGAUAUUCCCUUCAUACGAAUGUAUGUUAAUGUUUUUAGAGCAAAACUAUUUAAAACUCACCCAGGAUAAAAUCAUCCCAGCUAACUUUCAUCCUUUGAGAAAAGAAAAUAUGAUAAAUUAGUUUUUAUUAUUCAUUUUAAUACAAAAUGGUUCUAAAAACUGAAAAUAAUAUAUACGCAUAUACAUUUAUUUAUUUACUCGGUGACAAUACUCAAAAAUUUUUAUGCAAAAUAUGUACUAUCGUUACAUCAACUGACAAGUGCCAAAAUACCUUGUUUUAAUGUUUUGGCAUGAUUGCACCUCAAUAUCACUUCUAUUCCAGAAAACAUAGAACUUUAACAUACUCAUAAUAUUCUGAAAAUAAAACAAAAGCUUACUCUUUGUAAAACAAAGUUUUGAAACAAGCUUUAAAAAAAGUGUCAAAUGUUUACAAAUAUAUAUGAUUGUGUUUAUGUGUGUACUAUAGAUCACCAGGGAGAAGAUUGAGUUUUGUUUUUGUUUUGUUAUUGUUUCAAUGUUCCUUCUCCUAAAGCCCAGUCAUUUUCUCCUUGUAAAUUCUUUCAGAUGCAUAAUUCCGUGAUAACUUCCUUCAUAGUCAUUCUUCAGUCUCUUCCUCAUCUACUUCACCCUGAAUGCUUCUGUGUGUUUAAUAUGCAUAGAACAUCAUUGUAACCAUAAAUUACUUGCUCUGAAGCUUAUAAUUAUUGUCUAUUCAUUCUCGUUCGGUUCAAUUUUUUUUAUUCUCCAAUCUUUAGUCUCUGUUUCAGUCAGGAAGAUUUUCUGUACCCACCUUUUUUAUGUCUGCUUUUGAACCUAUCAGAGAUGUUCCCACACCUUAAAAGUCUCCCUAGUUUUAUUAGUUAGGGUUCUGCAUACAGAUAGAAGCAACACUAUGUAGAUAGAUAUAUAAGAGGAAACUUACUGUGAGAAUUGGCUCACCUGAUUCUGGAGGCUGAGAAGUCUCCAGAUACGUCUUCCACAAGGUCAAGACCCAGGAAAGCCAGCGGGUUAACUCAUUCUGAGUCCCAAGGCCUGAGAACCGGAGGAACCAGUGUCAGACAGGAGAAGAUGGAUGUCAAGAAGAGCAGGAGAAUU